AUGUCACGGUUGAAGAGGCUGGCGGCGCCCGCGCUGCUGGUGCUGCUUGCGCUGGCGGCGUCCGCGGCCGUGGCGGCGAAGACGACGCAGGACGGCGCGGAGGCGGCGCCGGGCAAGGAUGAAGAGUCGUGGACGGGGUGGGCCAAGGACAAGAUCUCCGAGGGGCUCGGCCUGGACAAGAUCUCCGAGGGGCUGGGGCUCAAGCACGACGCCGACAAGGAGGCCGCGCGCGAGACCGUCCAGCACACCGCCUCCGAGACGGGGAGUCAGGUGAGCGGCAAGGCAGCGGACGCCAAGGAGGCAGCCAAGGGAACGGUCGGGGAGAAGGCAGGGGCGGCCAAGGACGCCGUGUUGGAGAAGACGGAGUCCGCCAAGGACGCCGCGUGGGAGACAGCGGAGGCAGCCAAGGGGAAGGCCAACGAGGGAUACGAGAAGAUGAAGGAGAAGGCGUGGGAGGCCGUCGGCGCUACCAAGGAGAAGCUCGGGGAGGUGAAGGACAUGGUCACCGGCGCGGCAGCCGACGGCAAGGACAAGACGCACCGCAAGGAUGACGAGCUCUUUUUUGACCUAGACACAUUUGUCUCUGGUUUGGGAUAUGUGACUUGUGAUUUCUCGCGGUGGGAGUUGGAGUAUGUUGAGUACCUUGUUGACAAGCAUUAUCUCACCGGUGAUGUAGUUGUGGAUGCUAUUGGUGUGGCGGAGGAACGCGGGGAGGAACUUCUGGAAGCACAAGAACUGUUCUAUAUGAAUGGAUCUGACAGCUUGGGUAAGAAGGUUUUGAAGAAUGACAGUGUCAAUCUGAUGACCAGGCAGCAAGCUGCUGCACUGAUGAUGCUUGGGAGAGAGCUAGUGAUGCUCAUGAAGAUGCUGGUUGGUGUUGUGGUGGUGCUAAGUCUUGCGGCACUGGUGGUGAUCAUGCUGAAGAAGUGA
rnacentral:rRNA from 1 species